UCACGUUGAAACAACGGUUCUCGUACGAUCACCGAAGUUAAGCAACGUUGCGACUGGUCAAUACCUAAAUGGGUGUCACCUUGAGAAUACUAAGUGCUGUAA